rnacentral:lncRNA from 1 species
UUGCAAAUGGAGGAUUGGCGGGAGAUUCCGUCCUGAUCCGUUCCGAAUGAGACAGCAAAUAAGAACAAAACAAAGGAUGGGGGUAAAAAAUGGAAUGAAUUUUAUGACUUAAAAGACGGAUUUGGAAUAGAAAAAACAUGAAAAAUCUUGACCCGCGCUGAAUAUACUCCGCCGUGAUCGGCCUCAAAAGUGUUUACAUUUUUAAAAAGAGUUAAUUGCAUAUAGCUCUCUAUACAUAUCGAAUAAUAAAUAUAUUCAUACAAAGGUUUUCCUGCACAAGUUCAAACUUUUUUAAAUAUACCUCUACGGUUAAAAUCUAUUAAAAAAAAUAUAGUUAAUCAUAAAUAAAAUAAUUAAUAUUGGUUAGCGAGUGAGGUAAAUUGACCUUUUUACCCCUCUUAUAUUAUUUGUGACGAUAGAAAAAAAGAAAAUGAACAUUAGAGAUUUUGGAAGAAUAUUUCUGUAUAAUGUUAAUAGUUGGGACUUUUGAAAGGACAUUUUUGUGAUGGCAAAAAUAUUAUUUCGCUAAUUUUUUUAAAAAUUAAAUAAUGUCCUAACGGUAACAAACUAGAGAGGCGAAUAUGAAUAUUACUGGACUUUUGUAGGAACAAAUAUAAAAGUUAAACAGCCAAUCGAAAUGUAUUAAAAAUUUAAUUUUAUUUUUUUAUUUAUUGCA